rnacentral:lncRNA from 1 species
AAAAUCUGCUACAUUUCAUCUACUUUCUGGUUUGGAAGCUUUCACAGUUGGAUCCAGACCUUCAUUGGAUAGCUUCAAGCUCCUCAAUAGCAUGGAUUCUCAAGCCAUGAAGUUGAAGCUAGGACGCGAUCGAAGCAACAUGAGGAGCUAAACUCCUUGUGGAGGUAGGAUCUAGGAUAGUCUAGGAUGUAGAUGGAUCUAAUGUAAUCUGCUCUAUUGUAAGAAUUUACUCUGUUUCAUAGUGUUUACUUAAUGCAAUUCUUCC